rnacentral:tRNA from 1 species
GUCUUAUGAGUAUAUGUAGUAUAUUCGAUUUCCAAUUGAAAGGUUCCUGUAAUCAGUCAGGAAUAGGAUA